UGGCUUGACACUUCCUCUCUGGUUUCACUGGGUCAGAGAUACACUUUGCAAUGGACAGGCAGGAGGUUUUCCUCCCUUUUCAAGAGGAAGUCCGGGAAAAAGAAGCCCUGCCUUCCCCAGGCCCCCGGGAAGCACACGUGAGUGACCCCCAGAGAGCCCCCCUAAUGCCCCCCACCACCCCCCACACCGCCUCAGCAUCGCCUUACCAGGGCUGGGUUAUCUUUCCUCCCUGGUGGGUGGGGGUUUCACUCUACUUCACACUUGCCUUCCAGAUCUAGCCAUCAUUGCUUUCUUAUUUCAUAUAUAUUAAUUAAUUGUAAGUACGUAUUCACAAAUAAUUACAGAUAUAUGUGUUAUCUCUGUGUUUUGGGUAUAAUUGUCUCACUUCCACCUUCCCUAUGGAGGACUGGUGUUUGUUCCUCUGGCCCUCCAAGAGUGCACAUCCCCCUAAGUCCCCUUGCCCACAACAGGCUGUGGCACUGGAGCACUUGGCGGGGGUUGGCAUGGGAGGAAGUGAUUUCCCUGCUUCAGAGACCAGAAUAUUCAUGCAUAGCAUCUGGUGAAUUAAAGUCCAGGAGGGAAGAAGCUGGCAAAGAAGUGAGCAGAACCAUGUGUUCAUUCAAUUUUCUUGGAGAUGUGGCUUUGAUUUACACAGAAGUGCUGAAAUAACCCAGCAGCCUGAGAGAGCAGCAAAGCCCUGCAGGUCAGAAGGGACAUGGACCCUGGAACUGCGUCUCAAAACGCUCCAGGCUGAAGCACCGGUGCUGCUAAUAGAGUAAAUUGCAAGUACAUCGCUGCAAUCAUCCCCGCCGCUUUCACAGGAACCGAGCACUCCCUCUUGAGUAAGCCUCCGAUUUUAAGCCCUGAAAGAGCAGCUUGACACCCUGUGACCUGCCUGGAAGUGAUGAAAACGGCAGCAGUAAUCCCUGUGCUGUAACCUGAUGAAGAGGCAAUGGCAUUUCACAAUGUGUACUCCAUUCACUGCUACCUGCUUAAAAUGUGGAAGGUGGAGGAGUAAGAAGAAAAGACUCCUUUAAAUCUGUAGAGGAACUCUGGUGCCUGUAAGGGCUAUUUAAAGAAGUAAAACCACUUUAUCUUGUUAAUCUAUUUCUGCAUUGUAACUUAUGCUGCCAUUCACAAAGUGUCAGAAAGCUAUUGUAAACCCUUGUAUAAACCCACCCUGUAGACUUGAGGGGCUCGAGUCCCUGGCUCUGCCAGCCCUAGAAUAUUGGUGAUAGGAUAAUAGCAAGUUUCACUCUUAGAAGUUUUUUUGGAGGGGCUAAUGCACAAGAGGAAGAAUGUUAAUGAUUCCUAAAAGACCACCUACUUAGCUGCUAGCAAUAGGCAAUCUCUAGCAUGUGCAUCCUGGUAGAGGUGAAUUCUGAAAAGAGAUGUGAAAUACAAGCUAGGAGCUUUUGCAAAUUAUUUUUUCAAGGCACUCCAUGAAAUGCUACAUCAGUGAGAUAUCUGAGAAGAAAGCCCAGGCUGGGAAAUUGCUUCAGAGCUGCAGCUGGAGGAAAGUUACCAUUUCUUUGGGCAUUGCCACUCAUGAGAAGGAAAGCCAGUUGGACAGUUCAGGAGGAUAAUGUGCUGGGAGCAACACGGGAAUAGACAGAAUAAUGACAUAAAGGAAAGAUGCUUGAGGACAGGUUCUGUCUCAGCUAACACUAAACAUUUAGUCAUCUAGGCUCUCUUUGUGGUCAGCAGAGCAUGGCACUUUGAAGCCAUGAUUCAUCUGACCUAUUUUGGGCACUACCCCACCUAGGAUGAGGUGAAUUGCACUUUAUCCAUGCCUGUUUCUUCCUCUUGGUACUGAGAGAGCUUCAGGCACAUAGCCUAGAUACAGACAUCUGUAUUUUAGACACGUCAGGGGAGGUGAGAAAUAUCCUCCUUUGCACACGGAGUGGGACUGUGAGAGAGGACGUGGAUGGCCACAUGGCACCCUGUGAAUCUGGGACUGCAUCCAGCCACCCUCUGCCCUUGUCUUCAGGAGAGAUGAGGAACCAGAACAGGAGGAUGGAAACCAAAAAAGGAAGAGAGAGGAAAGAGAACAGGGAGCUCUGUUUCAGCCAUGUUGUUUCAGCUCUCAUUUAAUGCUCCUGCAAGGAAUAUGAGAGAUGAAGGCUGAGGAGAAUAACACAAUAAAUUAGAAAUGGGAAAAUGUGUGUUACAAGUUUUGCUAAGAUGUGAACUUCUUCAUGAACAACCAACAUUAUUAUAACUAUCAACUAAAAAAGGAACAGUGACAUUUUAUUAUUAUAAUUUUGAUCUAAAAUUGCAUUCUAAAAUCUUUAUGGACUAUCUUAAACUUGCUGAAAUGUAUAUUUUGUGCUGAAAAUUGGGUUUUGCAUGAGUGGAAAAAAAGAAAGCUUUUGUGAUGACUGCAGCACAAAUUUCUGUGAAUGGCUUUUUAAGCUGCAUUGCCAGAAAUGUCAUGAAUCUGCUCAGAACUCCAAGGAAGGGAAGUGGUUUGAAAUUCCUAACACUGCUCUUUCAGCCAGAAUAGCCAUUUUGGGUGUACUUCACAUGAAGCAUGGCUUCAGGGCUUGAUAUGUCUCCAUGCUGGGCCCUGUAUUGUGCCAAGGAACUUCUCAGUGUUUAACAAAUAAUAAUAGAUAUAAGCUG